UUAAAGCAAGAACACCAACAACCCACAACCCUGUAAAUGAACCAGAAACCCUGGAACAGGGUUAAUUUGCUUAACAAGGAGGAAACCCCCAUGACUGGAAUCAGAGUCUGAGAAGAGUUGUGCAGAGACGUAAGGGCCAUGACAUUCUAAGAUCCCAAUCCUGCAGGAUACUGAGUGCCUUCAACUUCCAUUGACUCUGACGGGACUUGAGAUGACUCAUCCAAGGGUGCUGCAUUACAAGCAACAGUCCAUAUGUGGAGUUGAACAGGUGUUGCCCUCUGAAACUCAGACCGAUUUUCCCUAGCUGGGACAGUCUGUGGCUAGACCAUGGACAGAGGUUUGUGAGUUGCUAUUGCAUGUAAGCUAAUGAAGAUGGUCAUUUAGCUGAAGCACU